GUGAAUCAUCGAAUCUUUGAACGCAUAUUGCGCUCUUUGGUAUUCCGAAGAGCAUGCUUGUUUGAGUAUCAGUAAACACCUCAAAGCUUUUGGAUUUUUUUUGAAAGCUUUGGACUUGAGCAAUCCCAACACCAAUCUUUUUCAGAUCGGCGGCGGGUUGCUUGAAAUGCAGGUGCAGCUGGACUUUCUCCUGAGCUAAAAGCAUAUUCAUUUAGUCCCGUCAAACGGAUUAUUACUUUUGCUGCAGCUAACAUAAAGGAUAAUUGUCCUCUUUGCUGACUGAUGCAGGAUUUUACGACACUUUAUGUGUUGUUCAACUCGAUCUCAAAUCAAGUAAGACUACCCGCUGAACUUAAGCAUAUCAAUAAGCGGAGGA
rnacentral:misc_RNA from 1 species